GACGAACGCUGGCGGCGUGCUUAACACAUGCAAGUCGAACGGUAAGGGCCUGCCUUUGUGGGGUGCUCGAGUGGCGAACGGGUGAGUAACACGUGAGUAACCUGCCCUUGACCUUGGGAUAACUAUUGGAAACUGGGGCUAAUACCGCAUAGGAGCACCUGCUGCAUGGUGGGGGUUGGAAAGUUUCGUCGGCUGGGGUUGGACUUGAGGCUUAUUUGCUUGAUGGUGAGGUAGUGGUAUAGCAAGGCCUUGACGGGUAGCCAGCCUGGGAGGGUGACCGGCCACAGUGGGACUGAGGUGGGAGCAGGACGGCUACUGGAGGAAGCAGUGGAAGAUAGAGCGAGAUGGGCGGAGGCCGGAUACAGCAACGCCGGGUGCGAGAUGACGGUCUUCGGGGUAGAACCAGUUUUCGCCUGUGAAGAAGCGAGAGUGACGGUAAUGGAUAAGAAAGCGCCGGCUAACUACGUG
rnacentral:rRNA from 1 species